AUUGAACGCUGGCGGCACGCCUAACACAUGCAAGUCGAGCGGCAGCGAGACUAGUAGCAAUACUAGUUGUCGGCGAGCGGCGGACGGGUGAGUAACACGUAGGAAUCUGCCCUUAAGCGGGGGAUAACCAAGGGAAACUUUGGCUAAUACCGCAUAAUCUCGAGAGAGCAAAGCUGCCCGCAAGGGUGGCACUUGAGGAGGAGCCUGCGUCCGAUUAGCUAGUUGGUGGGGUAAGGGCCUACCAAGGCGAUGAUCGGUAACUGGUCUGAGAGGACGACCAGUCACACUGGGACUGAGACACGGCCCAGACUCCUACGGGAGGCAGCAGUGGGGAAUAUUGGACAAUGGGGGCAACCCUGAUCCAGCGAUGCCGCGUGAGUGAAGAAGGCCUUCGGGUCGUAAAGCUCUUUAGGUUGGGAAGAAGUGUAUUGGCUGAAUAAUCCAGUACAUUGACGGUACCGACAGAAUAAGCACCGGCAAACUCUGUGCCAGCCGCCGCGGUAAAAC
rnacentral:rRNA from 1 species